GUGAGGAAUAUUGCGCAAUGGAGGCAACUCUGACGCAGCCAUGCCGCGUGCAGGAAGAAGGCGCUACGCGUUGUAAACUGCUUUUAACCAGGAAGAAACCCCAGGACGUGUCCUGGGUUGACGGUACCGGAGGAAUAAGCACCGGCUAACUUCGUGCCAGCAGCCGCGGUAAUACGAAGGGUGCAAGCGUUAUCCGGAUUCAUUGGGUUUAAAGGGUGCGUAGGCGGAGCGUUAAGUCAGUGGUGAAAUCCUGCAGCUUAACUGUAGACUUGCCAUUGAUACUGGCGCUCUUGAGUGCGCUUGAAGUGGGCGGAAUGUGCCGUGUAGCGGUGAAAUGCUUAGAUAUGGCACAGAACACCAAUUGCGAAGGCAGCUCACUAAGGCGAUACUGACGCUGAGGCACGAAAGCGUGGGGAUCGAACAGGAUUAGAUACCCUGGUAGUCC
rnacentral:rRNA from 1 species